rnacentral:tRNA from 1 species
GAGGGUAUAGCUCAGUGGUAGAGUGCGUGCUUAGCACGCACGAGGUCCUGGGUUCAAUCCCCAGUACCUCCA